rfam:Erinaceus europaeus unplaced genomic scaffold scaffold00635, whole genome shotgun sequence
UGCUCCCCCCCUCCGCCGCCGCCCCUCCUCUUCACCCCCUUUCUUCAGCUGCUGUUAUUACGUGGAGUUUGGAGCCUGAAGCUUGAAAACUCCCAUGUGGCGCCUGACUUGAGUGCGGAGCAUGCUCAGUA